AUUUUUUUUUUCACUUCUAUUAGUAGCAUAAGUAAUUUUCAGAUCAAAUCUUCUUCCAUGGAAAUUAUGAGUGAUGGUCUUAUUACAGAUUAGAUCAUGUGCAAAUCAAUGGUUUUUUGGCCCAAUAGGCCUUUUCUACUUAAUGUAACAGUAACCACUCCAACGAAGUAAAACAAUAAAUUCAAGUUAAUCUUUUCCUUAAAACUCACAGAACAUUAAUUUAAAUAUAAUUCUUUACAAGAAAUAAUUGACUUGCCUGUGUCUUAUGCUCUAUUUUAAUAUAUUUUUAUGACUUGUUUUCUUUAAUGAAUGAUGGCCUUCUUCCCUUUUCAUCUCUCAAACCAAAAGUUCUGGUUUCAGUGGAGAAAAGUCAGCAAUUACCACAGUGUCCCUUUCAGUCAGCUGUGGCCAGGAAUUUUCAGAAAAUAACAGAGUAAUCCAAGUAACUUCCUUCACUAUGUCUUUUUCUAUGGUUUUACUCAUUCAUGACAUAGACUUCUUUUUGUAUCCCAAUUAAUUUAGCUAUACUGUCCCCCUAUUUGUUGCUCUCACAUGCAAAGUUGGUCUCUGCUUUAGGAAUUGCACUUACUGUUCUUGCUGACUGGAGUGGUUUGCUGUAGAUUUUGAAUAAUUGAAUUUUUCUUGUAAUUAAAGUCUCAGUUUAAAUAGUAUAUAUGAGACUAGCCAUACCUAUUCAUUCCCUCAAUUAUGUUUUUUUUCCCUUUAGGGAGAAUUCAUUACCAUCUAACUUAGAAUAUUACCUGGCUCAUAUUACAUAAUGAAACAAAUAACAUGUAUACAUUAAUCUCACUAAGACAUUAACCCCAAUUUUAGAUGACAUCAAUCACUAUAAUAUAUUUGCAUAAAUUAAAAUAAAGUAGAAGGAAAUGAGCUUAGACAUAUGUGGGUCAUUAUCAAAUGGUCUAAUAUAAUUAAAAUUGUUCUAAAAAGAAGUGAUAAAGGAUGCAGGAAAGGAAACAUAAUAACAGAGAACUUUCUAAAACCAAUUAAAGACAAAACAUAGGUUCAAGAAACUCAACUUUAUUCCUAACAUAGGCAAAUAAAAAUAAGCCUUUAAAUAGUAAGAAUAACUUGCUGGAAACCAAAGAUAAAGGGAAAAGCUUUCAACUGAUGAGAGGAAAAAGUGCCUUAUUUUCAAAAAAGAAUAAGAGUUAUGGUUGCUUUUCAACAGAAAGAAUGGAAUCCAGAAAAUAAUGGAAAGACAACUUUAAAAUGCACCAAGAACCUCCUUGGCCCCCAGAGAAACCUCGAAUCCUAUAAUCUUCUAAAACAUUCUUUAGCAGUAAUGCUCAGAAUCUUUCUGAACUGGCCAAGUAGGAACACAGCCCACUAUAAUCUCUCUUUCCCAGUGAUCAUAAUGAAAAAUAUUGAACAGAAUGUGUAAAGUGCCACCCGUGGACCUUGAAAAGUAACCAGUAGCAGGAGGAAAGUGGAAACUGAAGAAAUGGCAGUCAGGGAGGGGGUUCC
rnacentral:lncRNA from 1 species